UGGGGAAUAUUGGGCAAUGGGCGAAAGCCUGACCCAGCGACGCCGCGUGAGGGAAGAAGGUCUUCGGAUUGUAAACCUUUGUAGACAGGGACGAAGAAAUGACGGUACCUGUAAAGUAAGCCACGGCUAACUACGUGCCAGCAGCCGCGGUAAUACGUAGGUGGCAAGCGUUAUCCGGAUUUAUUGGGUGUAAAGGGUGAGUAGGCGGGCGAGCAAGUCAGAUGUGAAAUGUUCAGGCUUAACCUGAGAACUGCAUUUGAAACUGCUUGUCUUGAGAGUCGGAGGGGCAAUUGGAAUUCCCGGUGUAGCGGUGAAAUGCGUAGAGAUCGGGAGGAACACCAGUGGCGAAGGCGAAUUGCUGGACGACAACUGACGCUGAGACACGAAAGCGUGGGGAGCAAACAGGAUUAGAUACC
rnacentral:rRNA from 1 species